UGGUGGAGUGAUGUGUCUGGUUAUUUCCGUUAACGACCGAGACCUCGACCUGCUAAAUAGUCUCAUUAAUUCUUCGGGAUUCUUGUUGACUUCUUAGAGGGACUAUCGGUGUGUAGCCGGUGGAAGUUCGGGGCAGUAACA
rnacentral:rRNA from 1 species